GGUUAAGCGACUAAGCGUACACGGUGGAUGCCCUGGCAGUCAGAGGCGAUGAAGGACGUGCUAAUCUGCGAAAAGCGUCGGUAAGGUGAUAUGAACCGUUAUAACCGGCGAUGUCCGAAUGGGGAAACCCAGUGCAAUUCGUUGCACUAUCGUUAACUGAAUACAUAGGUUAACGAGGCGAACCGGGGGAACUGAAACAUCUAAGUACCCCGAGGAAAAGAAAUCAACCGAGAUUCCCCCAGUAGCGGCGAGCGAACGGGGAGCAGCCCAGAGUCUGAAUCAGCUUGUGUGUUAGUGGAACGGUCUGGAAAGUCCGACGGUACAGGGUGAUAGUCCCGUACACCAAAAUGCACAGGUUGUGAACUCGAAGAGUAGGGCGGGACACGUGGUAUCCUGUCUGAAUAUGGGGGGACCAUCCUCCAAGGCUAAAUACUCCUGACUGACCGAUAGUGAACCAGUACCGUGAGGGAAAGGCGAAAAGAACCCCGGCGAGGGGAGUGAAAAAGAACCUGAAACCGUGUACGUACAAGCAGUGGGAGCACCUUUAUGGUGUGACUGCGUACCUUUUGUAUAAUGGGUCAGCGACUUAUAUUCUGUAGCAAGGUUAACCGUAUAGGGGAGCCGCAGGGAAACCGAGUCUUAACUGGGCGUUAAGUUGCAGGGUAUAGACCCGAAACCCGGUGAUCUAGCCAUGGGCAGGUUGAAGGUUGGGUAACACUAACUGGAGGACCGAACCGACUAAUGUUGAAAAAUUAGCGGAUGACUUGUGGCUGGGGGUGAAAGGCCAAUCAAACCGGGAGAUAGCUGGUUCUCCCCGAAAGCUAUUUAGGUAGCGCCUCGUGAACUCAUCUUCGGGGGUAGAGCACUGUUUCGGCUAGGGGGUCAUCCCGACUUACCAACCCGAUGCAAACUACGAAUACCGAAGAAUGUUAUCACGGGAGACACACGGCGGGUGCUAACGUCCGUCGUGAAGAGGGAAACAACCCAGACCGCCAGCUAAGGUCCCAAAGUCAUGGUUAAGUGGGAAACGAUGUGGGAAGGCACAGACAGCCAGGAUGUUGGCUUAGAAGCAGCCAUCAUUUAAAGAAAGCGUAAUAGCUCACUGGUCGAGUCGGCCUGCGCGGAAGAUGUAACGGGGCUAAACCAUGCACCGAAGCUGCGGCAGCGACACUAUGUGUUGUUGGGUAGGGGAGCGUUCUGUAAGCCUGCGAAGGUGGCCUGUGAGGG
rnacentral:rRNA from 1 species